rnacentral:rRNA from 1 species
CGUGUAGGCGGCCGGAUAAGUCAGAUGUGAAAGCCCUGGGCUUAACUCAGGAAGUGCAUUUGAAACUGUCCUGCUAGAGUAAGGGAGAGGGAAGUGGAAUUCCUGGUGUAGAGGUGAAAUUCGUAGAUAUCAGGAGGAACACCGGUGGCGAAGGCGACUUCCUGGCCCUAUACUGACGCUGAGACGCGAGAGCGUGGGUAGCAAACAGGAUUAGAUACCCUGGUAGUCCACGCCGUAAACGAUGUUCACUAGGUGUUGGGGGUAUUGACCCCCUCAGUGCCGGAGCUAACGCAUUAAGUGAACCGCCUGGGGAGUACGGUCGCAAGACUAAA